UCACGAUGGUCCGAACCCGUUUGCUCUUCGCUUUGCUGCUCGUCGCGGCCGUGUUUCUCGUCCGCGAAACUGGAGCCAGAAGGUCGACAACUACUACCGAGCCACCUUUCUAUGAUUUGGUGGAGCCGGUUAGGUCCAUCGACGCUUCUUGUCCGCCGGGCUACGUCUUCAGAAGGGGAAGAUGCAGGUCGGGUCAUUAAUUCUUCAAAGUCUUACGAGAAAAUGAGCUGUGUUCCUCGGAAGCGGCUGCUCCACACGUGAUCCACGACAAAAAUGUGUAGAAUUCUUUGUUCUUUGUAACAGCUAUUUUAAAAAUUUGUAUAAUAUCUUGAGCUUGCAUAAAGUGGCAAGAUUUUUUUAGGGUUCUAGUAGACAUUUAAUAGUAAACGAUUAAAAAUUUGAAAGUAUAUUUAAGUGCCUGGAAAUUAAAAAAUAUUACUGCGUUAUUAAUUCUAAAAUUUGAGAUCCCAGAGCUAAUUCUAUAAUUUUUACAUCAAAUCAAAGCGACUCUUAUCAUCUUCUCGGGGCCAAAUGUCUAUUUUUACGCAAUUCUUUUAUUUGUCUUGUUAUUUGUUUUGCUGGAAAUUAAAAUAAAUGUUAUCGAGUAUCGGAUAUGACGCUGCCAUUGUUUUCCAUUUCAUUUAAUCACGCUGUGGAUCUGAUUGACCUUUGUCCUUGAUUCUAUCUAUCUUAGGCACUAAUUAUAAACUGCGCUGUAAGCAAUUGAUCGUGUUAUUCAAACGCAGCACAAAUGCAACAGUUGUCUUUUGAGGCUUCAAGUUCGCUCUCUGUUCGUUUUGCUGCUUUUGCGGCGGCUGUUUGGCCCGCCCGCGAAUCUCGAGCCCUUGAUGGAAACGACACCGAGAAUUCAAAUAGUGCUUGGGCUUUUCCUCCUUUGAAGACGUGUCACCACAGUUGUAAAAUGUAUUUUUAAUUUUACGUUAAUAAAAUAAAUAUUUAAAAUUGCA